UCAGAACGAACGCUGGCGGCGUGCUUAAUACAUGCAAGUCGUGCGAGAAAGUCACCUUCGGGUGGUGAGUAAAGCGGCGAACGGGUGAGUAACACGUAAGAAACCUGCCCCUAAAUCCGGAAUAACAUUGCUAACGCGGUGCUAAUACCGGAUGUGGUCUCCAGUUUGCAUGAACAGGAGAUUAAAGGUGACCUCUACUUGUAAGUUAUCGUUUAGGGAUGGUCUUGCGGACCAUUAGCUUGUUGGCGGGGUAACGGCCCACCAAGGCUGCGAUGGUUAGCCGGCUUAAGAGGGUGAUCGGCCACAUUGGGACUGAGAUACGGCCCAGACUCCUACGGGAGGCAGCAGUAGGGAAUUUUGCGCAAUGGACGAAAGUCUGACGCAGCAACGCCGCGUGAGCGAUGAAGGUUUUCGGAUUGUAAAGCUCUGUUGAGUGGGAAGAAAACUCUCCGGGAUAAUACCCCGGAGACUUGACGGUACCACUCGAGGAAGCCCCGGCUAAAUACGUGCCAGCAGCCGCGGUAAUACGUAUGGGGCAAGCGUUGUUCGGAAUCACUGGGCGUAAAGGGAGUGUAGGCGGAAAGGUAAGUUAGAAGUGUAAUCCACGGGCUUAACCCGUGACUCGCUUUUAAUACUGCUUUUCUUGAGUAUGGGAGAGGGAGAUGGAAUUCCAGGUGUAGCGGUGGAAUGCGUAGAUAUCUGGAAGAACACCAGUAGCGAAGGCGGUCUCCUGGCCCAAUACUGACGCUGAGGCUCGAAAGCGUGGGGAGCGAACAGGAUUAGAUACCCUGGUAGUCCACGCCGUAAACGAUGGACACUAGAUGUUGGCCUCUUCGGGGGUCGGUGUCGUAGCUAACGCGUUAAGUGUCCCGCCUGGGAAGUACGCUCGCAAGAGUGAAACUCAAAGGAAUUGACCGGGGGCCCGCACAAGCGGUGGAGCAUGUUGCUUUAAUUCGAUGCAACGCGAAGAACCUUACCUGGACUUGACAUGGGGGUGAAAGUUUUCAGAGAUGAAAACCCUUCCUUCGGGAACGCCCUACACAGGUGCUGCAUGGUUGUCGUCAGCUCGUGUCGUGAGAUGUUGGGUUAAGUCCCGCAACGAGCGCAACCCUUGUCCUUAGUUGCCAGCGGGUCAUGCCGGGAACUCU
rnacentral:rRNA from 1 species